CUAGUCGCAAGCCCCCGAGCCGAUCUGACAGGCCGAGCACAUCUGGUCUAGAUCAUCUCAAACACACCUACUAUGUUUUUUUUUAAUUCAAACAGAAUAUCAGUACAAUAUUUAGUGCAGCACUCAAGAACAUUUCAAAGACAAACAAACAAAACAGAAUGAUCAAUAUAAUUUAUAUGGUAAUUAAAAGAUUGCGUUCCAUUAAUUUUUAUCUAAAUAUGGCCACCUAUGUUUGCAUUCAGGAAUAUUUGAAUAAUAAUCUAACUGGACUCUAAUAAACUUGUUUGUGCCCUUCUUAACAACCAGAUCAAUUCCAUUAACUAAAAUCCAUUUUUCAGUUAAAUUGAAGUCUUCAUAUUUUACAUGUUGUGCUAUAAAACAUACAUUAUGUGGAAUCAAGGCAAUAACCAAAUCAAAUUCUUUUUAAGGUAUAACAACAUUGUAUUUGCGUAAAAAACUUUCACAUGUGAAGAUUUCCUCUAUCAUCAAAUAAUUGAUUUACUGUAAUCAUUUUAUUGACAAACCAGUUUUGUAGAAAUAAACUUUUGUUUUUGUGUAACAAUUGUUCCACAAAGUGCAAUUGUGAGGAGAAAAGUUGUGUUUGAACAUAAGAGUCCAGCAUAAAGGAGCUUGUUGGGGAAAAUUGUCCAAUCUAACAGGAGUUUUCUGACAGAAAACGGACAUUUCAGUAAAAAAAAAAAAACAAUGAGACCUCCUAAAUUACCAAAUAAAUAGUUUGGGAAAAUAUUCCAUGAACUAUUGAGAUUCUCAAGAGAUCCACUUAAUUUUCAAAACCCGAUUGAAAACAGUAAAAGUCAAAACCUCUAAUCUUCCAUCAGCUGAAGAGUUUGACAGGACGUUUUUCUUAACUUUAUGGGUUUUGUUUUUCCACAGAAAAUUAAAAAGAAUUUGAUCCAGAUCCGAACACGGGGUUUUAGUGACAUCUAGUGGCGAGAAAAUAUAUGACGCUCUAGACAUCAUUCUGCUUUAGUUAGAAGUACUCGACCAUGAAUGGACAAAUCUCUAGUUAACCAGCUGUUAAACUUCUGUCUAAUAGUUUCAGUAACAGGGCUAAAGUUAUCCUCCAUAUCUUUACCUUCUUGGUAAGUAACAGUUUUUUUUUCACAGGAAUACCACAAACUUCCUUAUCAGUAACAUUAUUUACAGGUCAAAUUUCACAUUUUUUUUUAAAUUAAGUUUUAAUCCAGAAAUGCUUGAAAAGAGAGAAACAGCAGAUAAAGCCCCAGGGAUUUUGCUGACAUUAAAAAAAAAUCGUGGUUUUCAUCUGCAGAUUUUUAAUUUUUUUAAUUUAAUUUUUAAUUUAUUCGUUCUCCUCUCCUCACUAGUAAGAUUUAAUUUGAUAUAGAUGGAUUUAUGAUCAGUCAGUAUGGCUGGAAAAAUGUUUACCUCUGUCACUUUUCUUUCCAAUUCUUUGGAAAUCAACCAAAAAUCAAUUUCAAUGUUUUAAUUUAUGGCUUGAAAAGUCAGUUAGAUAAUGAUUCAAAGAAGAAUAAGACAAAAGGAUCAAUCAUGCCAGUCAGGGUGCUAACGUACGGGCACACCCGUAUACGCUUACACAGGCAUGUCCGUCCGUCUCUGCAGCUUCCCCCCGUCGCCCUCGUGCAUUGACUACAGACCUGCUCAACCACACCGGAUCUGCAUCACCGCGUCACCGGGUGACAUCAUCACAGACCUGGACGAGCCACAUCACCGUGGCCCGCCCACCUCCCCCACAUCACCGUAGAGGAAGCCCAGUACGAGCACCUAGGUCCUACCCAACGCCUCACCCACUGCAGGCGGCUCCCUGACAGCAUAACUGAUCCUAAUACAGUUUCAGCCGCAGUGCAUGCUGGGAGGCGUGACGCAAUUCAGCUGGACUGCAGUUAGACCCCGCCCUCGCUACCAUAGAUGUAUUGAUAAACGUAGAUUGACGCGUCAUUCAGGGAUCCGGAGGGAACCAGCGGCGCCGCUAUGUGGCAGGAGUCAAGCUAAGCUAGCCCUACGUGCUAAAGCGAUAGUCGACGGAGAACCGGAACCAUGCCGGUUGUUUGUGUUGACUUCGGAUACAACCGGGACUCUUUAGGUAGCAGAUGAUGUGGAAUGACCUUUCACGAGUUUGUAGCAAUAGGAAUUGCUUGUUUUUUUUUGGAGAACAAUCAGAAUAAAAUCCGGAUUAAAUGAUGACGGUUUGAGUAUUUAUCUGUUUUGAUAUUAAAUUCUUUUAUGUACAUCAUGUCCUCCAUCAUGAGAAAAAUGCUACAAGAACAUGUUAAAAACACAUAAUUUUCAUUAGAGUGGAUGUUUAAACUUCUAUUUCAUCCUAAAGGUUAAUCUAGUAAUUGAGAGUAAAUGUUUUUCAUCUCUACGUGUUUCUGUGUAUUCUAAUAUAUUUUGAAAUAAGACGUUUUCAAAUGAUCUUUUUGUAACUAAAAAUACUUUGAGGCAUUUUGAUCAUCAUAUUGAUAAAACAUUUCCUGUUGAAGAGCAGAGCUUCCGUCUGCUUCAGCAGAAGAACAGAGAUGUCCUCAGAGGACAGUGAAGGUCAGAGCAGCAGAUCAUGUGAUGCACCAGAACUCUAAAGAGAAACGUGUCAGUGUGUUUGUUCAAGAUGAAACUGGUCAGAAAUGUGUUUUUACUCAGGAAG